GAAUGUGUCUUUGAGAGACCCAAUGUACAGAAGUACUGCCUCAUGAGUGUGCGAGAUAGCUAUACAGACUUUCACAUUGACUUUGGUGGCACCUCUGUCUGGUACCAUGUACUCAAGGGUGAAAAGAUCUUCUACCUGAUCCGCCCAACAAAUGCCAAUCUGACUCUCUUUGAGUGCUGGAGCAGUUCCUCUAAUCAGAAUGAGAUGUUCUUUGGGGACCAGGUGGACAAGUGCUACAAGUGUUCCGUGAAGCAAGGACAGACACUUUUCAUUCCCACAGGGUGGAUCCAUGCUGUGCUGACGCCUGUGGACUGCCUUGCCUUUGGAGGGAACUUCUUACACAGCCUUAACAUCGAGAUGCAGCUCAAAGCCUAUGAGAUUGAGAAGCGGCUGAGCACAGCAGACCUCUUCAGAUUCCCCAACUUUGAGACCAUCUGUUGGUAUGUGGGAAAGCACAUCCUGGACAUCUUUCGCGGUUUGCGAGAGAACAGGAGACACCCUGCCUCCUACCUGGUCCAUGGUGGCAAAGCCUUGAACUUGGCCUUUAGAGCCUGGACAAGGAAAGAAGUAAAUAUGCAUAUUUCUCUACCUCCUCUGGAGUUUUGCCCUUUGUAGGGACUGGAUUUGGGUAGAUGUUUUGGAGAGACAGAAGAGACCAGAGAAGCUUGUGGGCUCCUGGGUGUAGAGUGGAGGUGUGGGCUAGGAUUCCUUUGAUUACAUUUUAAAAUCUUUCUUUCUGAUGAUAAAAAGUAAUACAACAUCACACUAGAGAAUUAGAAAAAUGAGGAAAAGUAUAAAGAAGGAAAAUUAUCACCUAUGAUUUUUACACUCAGCGGGAACUGCUAUUAACACUUGUGUACAUUUCCUUCUGGUCUUUUUUAUGUGCAUUUUAAAAACAUAAUUACUGUCACACUGUGUGGUAGACCCUUGAACAAUGUGGAGGUUGGGGU
rnacentral:sRNA from 1 species